rnacentral:rRNA from 1 species
UGGUUAAAAAGCUCGUAGUUGGAUCUCAACAGCCUUGGAAGCGGUUAACUUUGUAGUUUUACAGCUUUAUAGGCUGUGCUUUUGCUGGAGGUUUAGGGGUGCUCUUGAUCGAGUGUCUCUGGAUGCCAGCAGGUUUACUUUGAAAAAAUUAGAGUGCUCAAAGCAGGCUAAAAUGCCUGAAUAUUCGUGCAUGGAAUAAUAGAAUAGGAUGUCGAUCCUAUUUUGUUGGUUUUCGGGACUCGACAUAAUGAUAAAUAGGGACAGUCGGGGGCAUUUGUAUUCAAACGACAGAGGUGAAAUUCUUGGACCGUUUGAAGACAAACUACUGCGAAAGCAUUUGCCAAGAAUGUUUUCAUUAAUCAAGAACGAAAGUUAGAGGUUCGAAGGC